rnacentral:lncRNA from 1 species
AGGACAAAGAAGAUCAUUUCCUAAAAGUAUGCUCUGGCAUAGCUCAAAGAGGAGAACUAGUGAAGAGAGAUUCCAUCCAGCUCUGUGAGUGAGCACCACCUAGUCAACAGCUCUGCCCAUACCAAAGCAGGACACAGACUCAUAAAGUUAAUGGAUCAUAUGAAUCUAUUUCAGAAGGUAGCUGACCAACACUACCCUUUCACUUUCGGCACCAUACGUUGACAUCUGGUCAACAGAUCUGAAAGAAAAAUUCAGUCUCGGUCUAUAGAUAGGCAUAGGAUUUUGUUUUGUUUUCAGGCUAGUAUGAAUCUCAGGUUCAGUGAAGAACUGAAGCUCUCAGCUGUCAGGAGAGACAGAGUUUGAACUGAAAACCUGAUUUCUUUCUUCCUGCACUUCUGCGUUAAGAUAUGCUCCCCAUGAACCUGCUUCAAAGUUGAAUGGAGCUAAAACACGAUUUAUUUAUCUUCUGAGAAGAUUAAAUGCUUCAAAUCUUUGAUUGCAUUGAAGUCUGCUUUGCUGAAUUGUGUAUACUCUUCUAAUAUUAUGAACCCUUCCAGUGCAGCAAGUAUUGCUGGACAUACUGUGAGUUUGAUUGUUUUGCUAUCCCAGAAAACCUCAAGGAAUGUAAAGAGUCAUCUCUAUCCCCACUUGAAAUCUUUUAUUUAGGUUAUACCAUGAAAGACUCAUUUCCGUGAACACAAAGGAGCACAGAGGAACAGCAAAAGCUGGGGAACCCCGACAACUAGAUCAAGAGCUAUCCUGGGAGGG